rnacentral:rRNA from 1 species
UACGUAGGGUGCGAGCGUUAAUCGGAUUUACUGGGCGUAAAGCGUGCGCAGGCGGUCCGCUAAGACAGGUGUGAAAUCCCUGGGCUCAACCUAGGAAUUGCGCUUGUGACUGGCGGGCUAGAGUACGGUAGAGGGGGGUGGAAUUCCUGGGGUAGCAGUGAAAUGCGUAGAGAUCAGGAGGAACACCGAUGGCGAAGGCAGCCCCCUGGGCCUGUACUGACGCCCAGGCACGAAAGCGUGGGGAGAAAACAGG